GCCCUCGUUGUCUAAUGGUUAUGACGUCAGACUUCUACUCGAGGGUGAAUCUGGAGGUUGCGGGUUCGACUCCCGCCGGGGGUA